GACAGAGGGUGCAAACGUUGCUCGGAAUUACUGGGCGUAAAGCGUGCGCAGGCGGUUUUGUAAGUCUGAUGUGAAAUCCCCGGGCUCAACCUGGGAAUUGCAUUGGAGACUGCAAGGCUAGAAUCUGGCAGAGGGGGGUAGAAUUCCACGUGUAGCAGUGAAAUGCGUAGAGAUGUGGAGGAACACCGAUGGCGAAGGCAGCCCCCUGGGUCAAGAUUGACGCUCAUGCACGAAAGCGUGGGGAGCAAACAGG
rnacentral:rRNA from 1 species